AGUACUACCAAACUGGUAUACAUGUGCAUUGCAGAAACACUAAGUAUGCCGCCCAAACUAGCAUCCCCAUUGCGUUGUGUCCCUCUUGCUCCCAUGCCAUUUGAAAUACCUGUGGUUUUGGACAAAUUCAGACCCCCAAAAAGGGGAGAGGAGGGGAAUUGAAUUAACAGACACAAUUUCUCCUGUCAUUGAACUCUGACUAAUGAGUCUAUUUCUGGGUAAUAAGAAGGAGCAGGAAGUGACAAGGCACUGUAAUGAAUUAGUGGCCCAGAACCUCGUUAGUCAGAAUAAUCUUUCCACAAAAGAUAAAUGAAGCAAACAUUAAUUAUGAAGCCGGUGAAGAAAUCCAUUGCAUAUUUUUGGCAUUCUCCAAAAUCUCUUGGCAAUCGUUUGCACAUUUCCUUGACACACUUACUUGUAUAGGAUGAUGACAAUCCGUAAGCAUACAUAAAUGUGGGUAACAUAAUGAUGAGGGACAUCUUGGGACUAUGGGUGGCCAUACGUGAAUCCAUAGGUUAAUUAUAUAGCAAGUGUAACAAUAAGAUGAGAAAUUGUUUGACUUGGCAACCUUUGAUGUCAGUACUAAUUGGCAUUUUACAUGUUUGCUUUCUUCCUGUUUCUUUGCUUUCCCAUACCCUUUAUUUAUUUAUUUAUUUAUUUAUUUAUUUAUUUACAGUAUUUAUAUUCCGCCCUUCUCACCCCGAAGGGGACUCAGGGCGGAUUACAAUGAACACAUAUAUGACAAACAUUCAAUGCCAACAGACAAACAACAUACAUUAGACAGACUCAGAGGCAUUUUUAACAUUUUUCCAGCUUCACGAUUCCGGCCACAGGGGGAGCUGUUGCUUCACCGUCCAGUAGUGGCUGUACUUCCUCAUUCCUUUCCUCGUGUUUUGCUGGCAGUUUUAUGGUGUUGUAAAUUAGCCUCUCGCAUAAAGCAUCCCUAAAUUUCCCUAAUUGACAGAUGCAACUGUCUUUCGGGGCUGCAUAGGUCAACAGCAAGCCGGGGCUAUUAAUGGUCGGAGGCUUAACCCGACCCGGGCUUCGAACUCAUGACCUCUCGGUCAGUAGUGAUUUAUAGCAGCUGGUUACUAACCAGCCGCGCCACAGCCCGGCCACAGUACUACCUGAAACAUUUUAUUCCCAAGCUGUAACUCGGGCCUUAGCUUGCAUAAAAUUCUCAUGUGUUUGUUUUGUACAGAAAAGAGCAUGUUCUGUGCAGGAAAAGGCUUUUUCUGAGCAGAAAAUAGGAUCUCUGCACACAGUUGUUUUUGCACAGAAAGUGUUUUUUCCUGCUUCUGUGCAAAACAAUCUGGUGUGAAUUUUCUGCAGAAUGGGCUCCAAAUUGCUAAUAGGCUUCCAAAAGAGCAUGCUUCUUUGCAGACCUUCUCACAAUGAGAAGAAAAUUGCUAAAAUCAUUUCUGGCUUCCUUUGAGGAUUAUAUCCCUAAGGGGCAUGUUCUUUAAAUCUUAAUUAUUCAGCCUCCCUGCCCCUUAAAACAUUUAUAAUUUUUCAAACGCAAUCUAGUUUGUUUUGUCUGUUCCUUAACAUGAGUACCCAGAAGAAUUGGCUUGCUGCUGGAGAAAAUAAUAUAUAAUGAAAGUAGGAUCUGGAGUAGGCUGCCUCCCUUCCCCCUUCCGCUUGUUGUUCUCUUCAGAUGAUGAUUAUCAUUUCAGAGCACAACACAAAUUUAAUGACAUGAUAGAGAGCUCAUUAUGUUUCAUGCAAACUGGGGAGUGGGGGAGAUUAGACAUUAUUCCUUACUAAUUGUUACUUGCUCUUUCUCUGCCCCUUCUUUGCAUUGUUAAGAGUUUACCACUCUGUUUGGGAAACAGGGAUUAGUUAGCUUGCAAAUGAUUGCAAACACGUUCAGUGCAUAUGCACAUUCAAGCAUAUCUCUGUAGGGAUGGGUGAAAACAAAGCAUUUAGUUGUUUUGAUUUUUGAAAACAACUGCUCAAAAUUCUAAAAAUUAUAUUGGAUUAAAGCAAAAUUUGCUUAGUCAAGCAAGAAGAUCAAAGUAAGACAUAGAUGGGAUUCCCAUUAAGUUGAAUAUUACCCAACUUAUGGCAGUGUUUUUCUCAAAGGGUUAAGCCAUUUCUUCAUCAUUAGUGAACUACCAAUGAUAUCUGACUAAUCCUAAGUACCAUAUAUUACUGAAACAUCUCUUUUCAUGAUGGGAUUAUAUUCAAUUACGAUAAGACCCCCCCAUAUCUACACAUCCCAUAUACAGUAGAGUCUCACUUAUCCAACAUAAACGGGCCGGCAGAACGUUGGAUAAGCGAAUGUGUUGGAUAAUAAGGAGGGAUUAAGGAAAAGCCUAUUAAACAUCAAAUUAGUUUAUGAUUUUACAAAUUAAGCACCAAAAAAAAUCACAUUUCACAACAAAUUUGACAGAAAAGGUAGUUCAAUACGCAGUAAUGCUAUGUAGUAAUUACUGUAUUUACGAAUUUAGCACCAAAAUAUCAUGAUGUAUUGAAAACAUUGACUACAAAAAUGUGUUGGAUAAUCCAGAACAUUGGAUAAGCGAGUGUUGGAUAAGUGAGACUCUACUGUAUUACUGAAACAUCUCUUUUCAUGAUGGGAUUAUAUUCAAUUACUAUAAGACUCCCCCAUAUCUGCACAUCCCAUAUAUGUGGUUUCAAUUAUCUGCUGUUCACACAACCACUUCAGGCUUUUGUAGUGGGGAAGAAGCAAAAAGAAUAACUCCUGUGUCUUAGAUUGAUAUUUUUAUUAUUUUGGGUCAAAAACUUUGCAUAAAUAAGUAUAAAAUUGAUCAAAUAGAGGGAACACAAGCGGCUAAAUAAUUUUAGACCAAAAAUGCAUGACGUCGAGCAUUGUGAGCAAGCACACAGAUGUGGAAUUGUUUGUUCUGCUCCACAGUCACACUAGGUGGAGGAUUCUUCUAGGUCGUGCCAUUUUGCCAGGUUGUCUUUUGAUCUGCCCACUCCACUUCUGAGUCUGUUCCGGGAUGUCCAAGUUUCCCAUUUUGGUUUGCCCCUGGAGAAAGACCCUUGUGGGUGGGCAUCAAACUGGGAUUUCCUAGUUUUGCUGUCUAGAGGGAUGCUCUUGCUGUUGCUGGUGGUUCUCAUAAAACUUUUCCUU
rnacentral:lncRNA from 1 species